rnacentral:rRNA from 1 species
GCACAAGCGGUGGGGCAUGUGGUUUAAUUCGAAGCAACGCGAAGAACCUUACCAGGUCUUGACAUCCCGAUGCUAUUUCUAGAGAUAGAAAGUUACUUCGGUACAUCGGUGACAGGUGGUGCAUGGUUGUCGUCAGCUCGUGUCGUGAGAUGUUGGGUUAAGUCCCGCAACGAGCGCAACCCCUAUUGUUAGUUGCCAUCAUUCAGUUGGGCACUCUAGCGAGACUGCCGGUAAUAAACCGGAGGAAGGUGGGGAUGACGUCAAAUCAUCAUGCCCCUUAUGACCUGGGCUACACACGUGCUACAAUGGUUGGUACAACGAGUUGCGAGUCGGUGACGGCGAGCUAAUCUCUUAAAGCCAAUCUCAGUUCGGAUUGUAGGCUGCAACUCGCCUACAUGAAGUCGGAAUCGCUAGUAAUCGCGGAUCAGCACGCCGCGGUGAAUACGUUCCCGGGCCUU